rnacentral:lncRNA from 1 species
CCCUCCUUCCAAAAAAAAAAAAGAAAUUUUGCUCUCCCCUCAUUCUCUUAAAAACCCUAUAGGCCGGCCAAGUCUCCGAUGGACCACCACUGCACUAGUCGCCGGUUGCCGGCACCUGCGCCGCCGUAUACGGCGGCCAAAAUGUAAUUUUUUUUUACUCUUAUAUAUAUACAUAUAUACAUAUAUAAACAGUUUUGAAUAAAAAAAUAAAAAAAUAAAGAAAUAUAUGUGCAUACACAGACAAUUUCGAAAGAAAGGAAAAUAAAGAGAAAAUAAAAAAAUAGAAAGACCCGCGCUUUGAAUUUGUUUUGGUUUGCUUCUUUGUAUUUUUAUUUUUUUUCUUCAAAAUCUGUCCAAAAAAUACAUCCAUCCUUUCAUGGCUUUUACAGCCAAAUAAAUACAAUAUAUUUCAUUAUUUUCUUUCAUCUCUACUACUGUUUCUGCUAUCUGCCUCUGUUGUUUCUUUUUCCUUUUCUUUGCCUUGUUUACAGGUGCAGCAGAGGAGGGGUCAGGUCUCGAGCGCCGAGUGCGCUGUGGAGGCAAGUAGAGGGCUCGGCUAGGGUUUUUGCUUUCUUUUUUUUGGCUGAAAUUUGUUUAGGUUUUGGGCCUAUCGGGCCAUUAGGUUUUUUAGUAUUUGGGCUUCUAUUUUUGUCAUUUUCGGCUGUUAAUGAACUAUGGAUUUAUUAUUUAUUUUGGUUCUGUUGGUUUGGGCUCGGGCUGGGCAAAUAGGCCUAUUAUAACAACCACA